CUGGAGUCUCCGAAGACCACCGUUGUUAUGGGAGCCUUCUUCUUCCAAGUUCCUUUUCUGGUCGUGUGGCCCUAACCAUGUCCCUUCCCCUCUGCCGCGUCAGUUGCCCCAUCUGGCUAAUGGGUGCGAUAAAUGAAGUGGUGGCUGGCGCUGACUGUCAUGCAUUCUGGGGCCCCCCCGUGCCGUCACAAAGGCCCCAAGGAGGGAGAAGGCCAGCCGUUACCAGGCUUCCCGGCGGACAGCGUGAGGCAGAAGGUAGCUCUCGAACUUAAAGAAAGACAAGCUGUUUGUCCCCACAUCCCUCAUGAGGUGGAGGCAACGAGAAGAUGGAUG
rnacentral:lncRNA from 1 species